GUCUGAGUUGAUUUUGCAUGUGAUGUCUGGGGAGUGAAGCUCUGGAAAACAAAAUAUCAAGGACAGUUUCCCAGGCUGAGAGGUGAAGGCUGCCUCCCUCCCUCCUAACAAGACCAGGCAGCCGCAGGGUGGGAAGGACUCCAGGAGCGAGUCUGUGCCUGUCUGGGGGAGGACACAGCCCAUGUCUGCUCACCACUUGUCCUGUGCCUCCUUAGGGAAGGCUCUGCCCAGCAGGGCCUGGGACAUCAUCACAUUCGGUGGGUCUUUGUUGGGUGGAUGGAUGGAUUGACAAACAGAUGGACAAAUGGACGGAUGGAUACGUAAACACCAACUGAUGACUGCAUGGCUAGGUGGAUGGAUGGACACCUAUAUGCAGGGAUAAAUAAAUGGAUAGCUGGAUGAAGAGACAGUGCGGAGACAGCCAGGCAUGGUGGUGCACGGCUGUAAUCCCAGCUCUCGAGAGGCUGAGGCAGGAGGAUGGCCAUGACUUCAAGGCCAGCCUGGGCUACAUAGUGAGUUCAAGACCAGCCUGAACUGCACAGCAAGACCCUGUCUCAAAAUAACAAAACAAAACAAAAAACCCUAUUACUUCUUGUUAGUUUCUUACCAUGCCUAAUCCAAACAAUUAAAUUUUACCAUAGGGGGUGUGUGUUGGAAAACGUGGUACACAGAUAGGGUCCAGUACUGUCUGAGGUACUGGGGGCUGGGGAGGACUCCCCUGUGGGUGGGGGUGCUCUUAAACACUGGGGAUGGCUGCACAGCUCUGUGAACUUGCAGUCCAUACAACCGUGCACUUCACAGGAGCAGAUGAUAGGUAAAGUGCGGCCCUACGAAGCUGUUUCAAAAAGGCCCCUAGUGGUGGCUGAAGCAAGCAAGAGGUGGCUAAAGGCCCCCUGAAGAUGCUGCCCAAGCUGUGCCCACCAGGCCGCCUCCCCAGGCUUCCAGUCUGUAGGGCAGGUGAGGGUGCCUCCCUGUGGGCAGUGCUGUCCCCUCCCUGGCCCUCAAGCUGAG
ensembl:lncRNA